rnacentral:rRNA from 1 species
UAGGGAAUCUUCGGCAAUGGACGAAAGUCUGACCGAGCAACGCCGCGUGAGUGAAGAAGGUUUUCGGAUCGNAAAACUCUGUUGGUAGAGAAGAACGUUGGUGAGAGUGGAAAGCUCAUCAAGUGACGGUAACUACCCAGAAAGGGACGGCUAACUACGUGCCAGCAGCCGCGGUAAUACGUAGGUCCCGAGCGUUGUCCGGAUUUAUUGGGCGUAAAGCGAGCGCAGGUGGUUUAUUAAGUCUGGUGUAA